GCCUGGGUGGCUCAGUCAGUUAAGCAUCUGACUUCAGCUCAGGUCAUGAUCUCACGAUUUGUGAGUUCGAGCCCCACGUCGGGCU
rnacentral:tRNA from 1 species